GACGAACGCUGGCGGCGUGCUUAACACAUGCAAGUCGAACGGUAAGGCCCUUCGGGGUACACGAGUGGCGAACGGGGGAGUAACACGUGGGUGAUCUGCCCUGCACUUCGGGAUAAGCCUGGGAAACUGGGUCUAAUACCGGAUAGGACCCUGGGAUGCAUGUCCUGGGGUGGAAAGCUUUUGCGGUGGGGGAUGGGCCCGCGGCCUAUCAGCUUGUUGGUGGGGUGAUGGUCUACCAAGGCGACGACGGGUAGCCGGCCUGAGAGGGUGACCGGCCACACUGGGACUGAGAUACGGCCCAGACUCCUACGGGAGGCAGCAGUGGGGAAUAUUGCACAAUGGGCGCAAGCCUGAUGCAGCGACGCCGCGUGAGGGAUGACGGCCUUCGGGUUGUAAACCUCUUUCAGCACCGACGAAGCGCAAGUGACGGUAGGUGCAGAAGAAGGACCGGCCAACUACGUGCCAGCCGCCGCGGUAA
rnacentral:rRNA from 1 species